UACGGAACAACUCCGGGAAACUGGAGCUAAUACCGUAUACGUCCUUCGGGAGAAAGAUUUAUCGGAGAUGGAUGAGCCCGCGUUGGAUUAGCUAGUUGGUGGGGUAAUGGCCUACCAAGGCGACGAUCCAUAGCUGGUCUGAGAGGAUGAUCAGCCACACUGGGACUGAGACACGGCCCAGACUCCUACGGGAGGCAGCAGUGGGGAAUAUUGGACAAUGGGCGAAAGCCUGAUCCAGCCAUGCCGCGUGAGUGAUGAAGGCCCCUAGGGGUUGUAAAGCCUCUUUCAACGGCGGAAGAUAAUUGACGGUAACCGGUAGAAGAAGCCCCGGGCUAACUUCGUGCCAGCAGCCGCGGUAAUACGAAGGGGGCUAGCGUUGUUCGGAAUUACUGGGCGUAAAGCGCACGUAGGCGGAUACUUAAGUCAGGGGUGAAAUCCCGGGGCUC
rnacentral:rRNA from 1 species